rnacentral:tRNA from 1 species
GCCUGAGUGGCUCAGUUGGUUGAGCAUCUGACUUCGGCUCAGUUCAUGAUCUUGCAGUUCACGGGUUUGAACCCCACGUCGGGCU